AUUUUGCAUCUUUUUGUUUUUCCCUACUCUAACCUAACGCUAAUCCCUCAUCACCGCGCCGAUUUCUUUCUUUCUUUCCUGUUCUCGCUGUCCCUCCGCUCACCCGAACUCAAGCGCCGCUCCUCUCCCUUUCUCUUCUCGUCGUCACCGCUUCUCUCUCUUUCGCCUCCCUCUCGUCGUCGCCGCUCCUCUCCCUUCCUCCUCCCUAAUUUGCUCUCGCCACUCCUCUCCCUUUUUCAUCCCUAAUCUGCUCUCGCCGUCGCCGCUUCUCUCAUCCACUCUCACGCAUACCUGUGCUGCCACCGGCCUACAUCGCGUGUCGCCACCACGAUUGCUCCACAACACUGCCUCUACCGUGAUUCUGCCUUUCUGCUCCCUAACCCAUCCUUGUCGUCGUUCCUCUUUUCUCCUCCCUAACCUGCUAUCGCCAUCCAUCCCUGUUACUGCUCCUCUCACCAUCGACGCUCCUCUGCCAGUCGCCGCUGCUGCCAAAGGUUGUGGAUUGGAAGUUUUGAUAGUCACCUUGCCCCUUUCUACAGAAUCAAAUAGGUGUUUCAGCCCAGGAAUUGUCAGGAAGAACAUGACCUUCCACAGGUUUAAUGGAAGAUCCGUCAGCAUGUGCAUCUUUUAUAUCAACAAUACUUAUGGGCUUGUCUGUGUGUUUGCUCAUAUUGGAUUCCUGUAAGAUCCUUUCCUCAUGAACAGCAGGGUUAUCAGACACAGACUUUGAAGGUCCUACAUGAAGGACAGGAUUGGAGAUAAUUUCAUGCUAGUCAUGUAUAGCCCGAUUAGUUGAAUUAUGGAUAUCUUGAGAAAAUUUAACAAUCUCUGAUCCAUGUGGAAUGGAGACAAAUUCCAAUUUAUUAGCUUGACUAGGUGUACUGACCAAUUGUUUAUUUUUUUUCAAACUGCAUGAAAUCAUCUUUGAUAGUUUCAUUACUUUGGCAUGGUGGUUUUGUAGAUAAUAAAGACUUCUCAGAAUGUGAGACCAACUCUCCCUCAAUUAUGUUAUCAGCUCUUUCAGCAAUGGAUUCUUGAGCUGCAAGCAAGCACGCUUGAUUUAUUAAAUAUUGAGAGCCAGGGGAAUCAUCAGAUUUAGAUAAUCAGUUCAAGAACUCUAACUGCUCCCUUGGAUGACUUGCAGAUUGGUAACCUCGGAAAGGCUGUGAAGGUGGAUUAUUGAAACCUACAUCAAAUGCAUCAGCUUCAUCAGCAAUAUUACUAGGUUCCAAACCGCCACGACAAUAGUAGUCAUCUUCAUUUAGGAAGUGUUAAAUUCUCUUUUUCAGAAACGACAUGCAUACUUACUGCAUGGAUAUGACUCAAAAAGGAAACAUCAUGCUGCUGCAUGGUUGAACUAGGUUCAUGAAUGUGGGAGCUGAUAUGCUCAUCCUCUAUUUUUUUAUAUGAGAAACUAUCAGCUACUAAAUUCUUAAAAGUGAAGCUAGAUAGAAGAUAUAGCUAGAUUGAAUUUUUAUUUUCUUUGAAUUUUUAUAUAUGACUUGCAUGUCUUUCAGGGCUGGAUAGAAGAUAUAGCUAGAAUGAGUUGGUAGGGACAUACUACAUAGCCAAUAAAUUCUUAAAGAAUUGAAUUUAUCAGAGUGUGAUGUGAGGAUGGUGUAAGGAGUAUAGAAGAGAAUGCAAAGAAAGUAUAUAUGAUCAUUGUAAAUUAAUCUAGUUUCAUUGGUCAUGGAAAUAGAAUCCCUACUCAGUGAGUAUGAUGCAUACAUGUAGACCUUGAAUGAAACACCAAAAAUGAUAUAUGUGCUAAUCUUUUCCCUUGCAUGUAAAUCAAAGUAGAGAGGUAAUUAAAUGAUGGUGCUUCACUCUAGAUCUGACUGUGGGUCUCCAAUUUGCAUGUAGUAUAAUAACAUGUUACAAAACCUGAACUCGACUCCAUUAUAACAUGCAUCCUAAUAAUUUGUAGUAUGGAAGAGGUAUAUGGUCAUCAAAGAGGUCUCAUAACAGCUUCGAGAAGAAUGGGAAGCAUUAGCUAAUUGCUAUGAAGAUCACAUGAGCAGUGCAUGGAUAUCAAAUAAUUUAUUAAGGAUUCUCGUGAAGAAGGAUUAUAGAAGUUAUCUCUAAAUCACGAGGAGUUAUUCUUUAGACUUUCUUUUGUGUAAUUUUCAUGGGAAUAGUUGUUUUUUUAUUGGAUGAAUGUUGGAUGGAUGUUGGAUGCACUUUAAUUAAUGAUUAUAGAAUUUUAUAUUAUGGA